AUGAAUGAAUGCCUGGAGUGAGGACU
rnacentral:piRNA from 1 species